UCCGGGUUGGGGUGCCGGCAAAGAAACAAUGGAGACAAUUCUGGAGCAGCAGUGGCGCUAUCAGGAGGAGAAGGAAUGGCUUAUGGACGUCAUGGCCAAAGAGAUGCUCACAAAGAAGUCCAUGCUCCAGGACCAGAUCAAUUCCGACCACCGCACUCGGGCCAUGCAAGAUAGAUAUAUGGAGGUCAGUGGGAACCUGAGGGAUUUGUAUGAUGAUAAGGAUGGGUUACGAAAGGAGGAGCUCAAUGCUAUUUCAGGACCCAAUGAGUUUGCUGAAUUCUAUAAUAGACUCAAGCAAAUAAAGGAAUUCCACCGGAAGCACCCAAAUGAGAAGCUGGAUUAUAUCACAUAGCUGUCCAUCUUCGACCAGUUAUUUGACAUUCCUAAAGAAAGGAAGAAUGCAGAGUAUAAAAGAUACCUAGAGAUGCUGCUUGAGUACCUUCAGGAUUACACAGAUAGAGUGAAGCCCCUCCAAGAUCAGAAUGAACUUUUUGGGAAGAUUCAGAUUGAGUUUGAGAAGAAGUGGGAGAAUGGUACCUUCCCUGGUUGGCUGAAAGAGACAAGCAGUGCCCUGACUCAUGCUGGAGCCCAUCUUGACCUCUCUGCAUUCUCCUCCUGGGAGGAGUUGGCCUCCUGGGUCUGGACAGAUUGAAAUCUGCACUCUUAGCGUUAGGCCUGAAAUGUGGCACGACCCUAGAAGAGCGAACCCAGAGACUAUUCAGCACCAAAGGAAAGUCCCUGGAGUCACUUGACACUUCUCUGUUUGCCAAAAAUCCCAAGUCAAAGAGCACCAAGCAAGACACUGAGAGGAACAAAGACAUUGCUUUUCUAGAAGCCCAGAUCUAUGAAUAUGUAGAGAUUCUUGGGGAACAGCGACAUCUUACUCAUGAAAAUGUACAAUGCAAGCAAGCAAGGACAGGAGAAGAGCCAGAAGAGGAGGAAGAACAGAUCAGUGAGAGUGAAAGUGAAGAUGAAGAGAAUGAGAUCAUUUACAACCCCAAAAAACUGCCCCUUGGCUGGGAUGGCAAACUCAUUCCCUACUGGCUGUAUAAGCUUCAUGGACUAAACAUCAACUACAACUGUGAAAUUUGUGGAAACUACACCUACUGAGGACGCAAGGCCUUCCAACAGCACUUUGCUGAAUGGCGUCAUGCUCAUGGCAUGAGGUGUUUGGGCAUCCCAAACACUGCCCACUUUGCUAAUGUGACACAGAUUGAAGAUGCUGUCUCCUUGUGGGCCAAGCUGAAACUGCAGAAGGCUUCAGAGCGAUGGCAGCCCGACACUAAGGAAGAAUGUGAAGACUCCAGUGGGAAUGUUGUGAAUAAGAAGACAUAUGAGGAUCUGAAAAGACAAGGACUGCUCUAGUGUUCAGGGAUGUAGCUCAGCUUU